AACGAACGCUGGCGGCACGUUUUAAGCAUGCAAGUCGAGCGGCAGUGGGGGCAACCCCAUGAGAGUGGCGAACGGGUGAGUAACACGUAGGUGAUCUGCCUUUGGGUUGGGGAUAGCUUGUGGAAACACAGGGUAAUACCGAAUGAGCUGACGAGGCUUUGGCCAUGUUAGUAAAGGUGCUACGGCACCGCCUAGAGAGGAGCCUGCGGCUGAUUAGCUAGUUGGUGGGGUAAAGGCCUACCAAGGCGACGAUCAGUAGCCGGCCUGAGAGGGUGUACGGCCACACUGGAACUGAGACACGGUCCAGACUCCUACGGGAGGCAGCAGCUAAGAAUCUUCCGCAAUGGGCGAAAGCCUGACGGAGCGAUGCCGCGUGAUCGAUGAAGGUCGAGAGAUUGUAAAGAUCUUUUCCAACUGAGGAAUAAGUGGACCAGGGAAUGGGUUCAUGAUGACGUUAAGUUGGGAAUAAGCCCCGGCUAAUUACGUGCCAGCAGCCGCGGUAA
rnacentral:rRNA from 1 species